rnacentral:rRNA from 1 species
AUGGCGCUCCGAGUGGCUGCUGACGACGAGCAGCAGUUCACCAUGCAUGUCGUGGUGGACACCCAUCGAAUCGACCGCUUCAUCCCCAGCCGCACCGGAUCCAACCUCGCGCUCUUCGACCUCGCCCCGGCCCCCUCCUCCUCCGCCUCCGGAUCUGCCGCUCCCCCCUCACCCUACUGCGUGCUCCUCCGCGCGGCGCUCUUCGGGCCCGACACGCCCGACCGCCUCGCCUCCUCCGCCGGGGCCUCCUCCUCCUCCGCGGCCUCCCCCGUCGGCUCCCCCGCCGGCGGCAACAUAUUCCGCUUCAAGGCCGAGGUGCCGAGGAACGCCAAGCGGGCGCUCUUCGUCGGCGGGGACGACCAGGACCUGCUCUUCCCCGGCAUCUUCACCCCCAAGGGCUCCGGCCCCAGGAAGAUCCCCAGGUCGCCCUACAAGAUUCCAUCUUUCCUCAUGAUUUUCCUGUACAAAGAGAGAAUCUCACGGGAAUGUGAUUCUCCUGCCUGCUGCUUCUGCCAGGUGCUGGAUGCGCCCGCAUUGCAGGACGACUUCUACCUCAACCUCGUGGAUUGGUCUUCGCACAAUGUCCUCUCGGUCAGAUUGGGGAAUUGCGUCUACCUGUGGAAUGCAUGCAGCAGCAAGGUCACCAAGCUCUGCGAUUUGGGGGCGGACGACACCGUUUGUUCCGUGAGUUGGGCGCAGCGUGGCACCCACCUGGCUGUAGGGACUAACCAAGGCACCGUCCAGAUAUGGGAUGCAACACGCUGUAAAAGAAUGAGAACCAUGGAAAGCCAUCGCAUGCGAGUAGGUGCUCUUGCAUGGAACUCUUCAUUGCUUUCUUCUGGCAGUCGUGACAAGAACAUCCUUCAUCAUGAUCUACACGGCCUUCUUGCAUCUGGUGGUGGAACUGCAGAUAGGUGCAUAAGAUUUUGGAAUACGACCACAAAUACACACUUGAGUUCCAUGGAUACAGGGAGUCAGGUCUGUAAUCUUGUGUGGUCAAAGAAUGUGAAUGAGCUUGUUAGCACACACGGAUACUCCCAGAAUCAGAUAAUAGUGUGGCGGUAUCCAACGAUGUCAAAGCUUGCCACGUUGACAGGACAUACAUUCAGAGUAUUAUAUUUAGCCAUCUCCCCUGAUGGACAGACAAUUGUUACUGGUGCUGGUGACGAGACGCUCCGGUUUUGGAACGUGUUUCCGUCUCCCAAGUCCCAGAGUUCUGACAGCUUAAGUAGCAUUGGAGCGACAUCAUUUGUUAGGAGCUACAUCCGGUGA